AACGCAUCUUGCACCCCCUGGUAUUCCAGGGGGUAUGCCUGUUUGAGUGUCAUUAUUCAAUCUCAAUGCAAUGGAAGUGUCUGCUCGGUGUUUCCUUGCAUUGGAUAAUGAAGGUUGCUGGGUACCACCAGCUUCUUUGAAAUGCAUUAGCAGUAAAUAAGCAGAGUCGGCUUCGGUUUGAUAUGAUCUAUGCUGUUGCCGUCGGAGCUUCAUGUUCUGCUGACUUGUCUUUGUAUGAGACUGUCCAUCCAGUGGACACUUUAUGUAGCUUGACCUCAAAUCAGGUAGGAUCACCCGCUGAACUUAA
rnacentral:misc_RNA from 1 species